rnacentral:lncRNA from 1 species
CCCCCGACACGACAAAAUUUAGUUUACGUAGUGUUAAAAGUUAUUUUUUGCUUUUUAUAGGGUUUAGCGUUUUUAACCUUUUGUCAUAAUUAUUGCAUACUUUUUUUGGGUCGGGGGUUUUUUUUUUCUGUGUGAAAAUGGCUAACAUCCCCAAAAAAUGGUACCAUAUAUGUAACUUACUUUACCUUAUGAUGUGUACCUUGCUUUACCUUUCAAUGGUUUAGUUUUACCCUGAAAAGUAAGGUUGCCAACUCGGGGAUGAAAUUGUUAAUUUGUGUUGCCACACUAAAAAAGGUUGGCAGCUAUAUUUUUGGAGCUUAAUAUAAUUUGUAUAAAAAGAAAUAUUAGUUAUGUCUUAAACUUCAUGCAUAAUCUUUUUGAAGAUUUUAUUGAGAUUAUAAAUCUUUGUGAACUUAAAAACGUAUUUUGACAUUUCAUUUUGCCUCUAAAAAGGUUGUAUUGAAACUUGCUUACUUCCUUGUGAGUGCAAAAUGCUUCUUAUUUCUGUACUGUGUACAUUUCAUGUUCGCUCGUAGAAUUGUCUUUAUUUCUUUAUCCUACAGGCGAAAGGAUGUAUGUAUGUAAAAUUUGAAAACACGCCUGUAUUAAUAUUCCAUUCUCAGAAAAUUUAACUAAAGUAGAUUAUUUCUCUUUUAAAUGCAUAUAAAUUGCCAUGAAAUUUCUGAUGAUACCUGCCUUUUUGUUUAAAAAGGAACAAAUACGGAAUGGUUUAAAUUCAUUGGGUAACACUCGGAUCGUGGCUAAGGGUACUAUUAUGGAUAAAAUGUGGAUUUGGGAACUUAAAUGAUUCUGGUUAAUAAUGAAUUCAAAAAGCAGCCUAGCUUUGGAUUGCAAAAGUAUAAAUAAUUUUGUAACUUGCUUCAUAAAUAGCAAAAAUGAUUUUCUUUUCCGGCAGGUUAAAUGAAAACCAGUGUUGCUAGUGCUGAAAUUCUAUAAUAUUUGUGUACCUAAUCCCUAGUGACGCCUUUUGUUCUAAUCACUGCCAGAAAUCUAAAUAUCUAUAUCGAUUGUAUCGGUUGCUGAAUAAGAUUUUUUUUUCUCACUGUGAUACCAGCAAAAUCUAAUUCCAAAUCGCCCCGAAAUACUCGCAAUUUUUUUUGGAACUUCUAGAUUGGAAUGUAUCUCUUCUAAUAAAACGUAACUUUUAAAUGUAGUAGCAAUUUUAAGUCGACGAAGUAAAAUGUAGUAUAAUAUAUAUUUUAUGUGUGUAUAAUAAAUAAAUAUUUUAUGAAAACUUUAAUUAACUAUUUCGUUAUUUUAUGAUCUAAUGUAUUUUGCUUGAAGGGGAAUGUUUUAUCCAAAUUAUGGAGUAAUGAUUAAGCCGCUGUAUGUCGGAGCGCAGAUAUAUGCGAGAAACAUUUGUUUUUCUAUGGUUCUAUAAUCAUAAUUUGCCCACAAAUAUAAAAAAAUAUCAUUCAAAUAUCAGUGAUUGUGUUCAGCAUGAAUGAAAUUAUUUAACAAUAUACUCGAAUUUCUACAAAUAAGUUCUAUCACCAACUUGCAAACGUUUUAUGCUUAUUGUUAUUAUUUUUUUUGCAAACUUCCCCGAUUAAGGAAUAUUACUGUUACCUAGUUAGGAACAUUUAAGAUCACUGUUCCCAAACAAGAAACAUUUAAAAUUCUGUUCCCGAUUAAGGAACAUUUAAAAUUCUGUUCCCGAUUUGGGAACGUUUUCAAAAUUAUUCCAAACUGGGAAUAUCUUUGAUAUUAAUCUUUUAUCACUUUAUCGUUUGAGUAGGCACUUAAAAGGUAGACAAUAUUUAUAUGACUUUUUAUUUGAAAACUCAUUUAAAAAUCUAUACUAAUAUUAUAAAGCUGAAGAGUUUGUUUGUUUGUUUGAACGCGCUAAUCUCAGGAACUACUAGUUCGAUUUGAAAAUUUCUUUCUGUUUUAGAUAGCCCAUUUAUCGAGGAAGGCUAUAGGCUACUUUUUAUCCCGGUACGGGAAGUAGUUCCCACGGGAUGCGGGUGAAACCGCUGGCAGAAGCUAGUUAGAUAUAAUGGCUAAAAAUCUAUGUUUAAAACACUGAUGCCCGUUUUCACCAACAACCUCUUACCGUUUCCCUAUCUAAAAGCUACUUUUAAUAAGGACCCCUCCCAAUUUGACACCUACCUAAAUUCAUUUUCACCACACUUGUACAUGGAUCCCUUAAAUAAGUUUAUUUUGGCAGAGAAGAGAAAACGAGGAUAAACCUUUCUUGCAGAAGAAAAAGACAAGCUAGUGAAAUUGCCGUCUCAUAGAGACACAAUAUUAAACAAAAAACGGAUGGGACCACGAACGAAGCCAAAAACAAAGCUUGGAUCCAGUUACAAAUAGUUUUAAUGCGAUAGGAACCGUUUACAGGUAAAUGUGAAUAAUAUCUGUGUAUAAUAAUAUAAGAUAUUGCCGUUCAACUGUGUUCCUUGUUUUACUGUCGACUUCAUUGUAUUUUUGUUCUCCAUGAGUUGAUGGAUUUAAGUAUGGGGUUAAAAUUAUACAUUUAUUAUAUUUAUUUAGUUUCAGGUGGUGCGAGAAAUUGGAAAGACGUGUAAAAACAUGCUGCGCCCAGCCCACCUCAAAUUGAAUUGGUGCAGGAGGAUGAUGAUAAUGUUUGGUACAUCAUAUGAGGACUAAUAUUAAAAUAUUUGUUUACUA